GUAAUGUAUCUAGAGACUGGUCCCAGAUCUGUGGUGAGGUUUCUAAAUGUGGUGUAGCUACAGACUGUAAUGUAUCUAGAGACUGGUCCCAGAUCUGUGGUGAGGUUUCUAAAUGUGGUGUAGCUACAGACUGUAAUGUAUCUAGAGACUGGUCCCAGAUCUGUGGUGAGGUUUCUAAAUGUGGUGUAGCUACAGACUGUAAUGUAUCUAGAGACUGGUCCCAGAUCUGUGGUGAGGUUUCUAAAUGUGGUGUAGCUACAGACUGUAAUGUAUCUAGAGACUGGUCCCAGAUCUGUGGUGUGGUUUCUAAAUGUGGUGUAGCUACAGACUGUAAUGUAUCUAGAGACUGGUCCCAGAUCUGUGGUGAGGUUUCUAAAUGUGGUGUAGCUACAGACUGUAAUGUAUCUAGAGACUGGUCCCAGAUCUGUGGUGAGGUUUCUAAUGUGGUGUAGCUACAGACUGUAAUGUAUCUAGAGACUGGUCCCAGAUCUGUGGUGAGGUUUCUAAAUGUGGUGUAGCUACAGACUGUAAUGUAUCUAGAGACUGGUCCCAGAUCUGUGGUGUGGUUUCUAAAUGUGGUGUAGCUACAGACUGUAAUGUAUCUAGAGACUGGUCCCAGAUCUGUGGUGAGGUUUCUAAAUGUGGUGUAGCUACAGACUGUAAUGUAUCUAGAGACUGGUCCCAGAUCUGUGGUGAGGUUUCUAAAUGUGGUGUAGCUACAGACUGUAAUGUAUCUAGAGACUGGUCCCAGAUCUGUGGUGAGGUUUCUAAAUGUGGUGUAGCUACAGACUGUAAUGUAUCUAGAGACUGGUCCCAGAUCUGUGGUGAGGUUUCUAAAUGUGGUGUAGCUACAGACUGUAAUGUAUCUAGAGACUGGUCCCAGAUCUGUGGUGAGGUUUCUAAAUGUGGUGUAGCUACAGACUGUAAUGUAUCUAGAGACUGGUCCCAGAUCUGUGGUGAGGUUUCUAAAUGUGGUGUAGCUACAGACUGUAAUGUAUCUAGAGACUGGUCCCAGAUCUGUGGUGAGGUUUCUAAAUGUGGUGUAGCUACAGACUGUAAUGUAUCUAGAGACUGGUCCCAGAUCUGUGGUAGGUAUGAAUGUUAAAUCCGAGGCAACAGCAAACUUGUAUUUCUGCAUUGUGUUCCCUUUCCCAGUACAGUAUUGGACUCCACUAUUGUACUGUCAAACAUGACAUGUGACAAUGACCAUGGGAGUUGACUUGGCAAAUCUGGAACCAGGAAAGGCUGGAAAUAUUUGGGGGAUUUCUGAAGCUGCCAUUUUCCACCUAAACCCAUGCUUAA